UACCAUGCUCAUCACUAAAUGCUGGUCC
rnacentral:piRNA from 1 species